rnacentral:lncRNA from 1 species
CUCGGCUCUCCUUGGAGGCCUGGGACCUUGGAGAGAGCCAGUCCCCAGGGGAGUGAGGACUGCUGGCUGUGGGGCGCCUGGGGCUGGGGGGCUUGGCAUGCCCCUUCACUUGGCCGCUGGCUGCCCAGGACAAGGAGGAGGGUGUGCUGCUACCUUCUUGGAGCCCUUCUGCACCCACCCAGAUGGAGCCUGGUCUGCGGAGGUGGCUGUGUCCCCAGGCAGGGCUCUGGGGGUGGCAGAGGCUGCUGGGCCUGGCCCAAGUCCUCAGGCAGGCCCCGUCAUCUCUGGGCCUCCUUUUUGUUCCUGUGAUUCUUGUGGGGGCUGUCGGUUCCCAUGGAGACCGCAUCUGGGGCAGCCUGCUGGCUGGGGCCCUGGGCACUGGCCCAGCCUCACUGGGGCUGGUGGGCUCUCUCCUCACCCAAGGGCUGACUGAGCUGCACCCACCUGCCCCAGGAAGGCCAGGCCCUCCCUUGCAGACCAGCCGGCCAGGCAGGCCCACCAAGGAGGGAGUAAGCCCCCAAUUCUUGGCUCUGCCCAGACCUGGUGUGGAAGGGUCCAAGGUGGCAGGUGUGGAGUGGUCCCGGAUCCUGGGUAUUUGAGAGGCAUGGCUUACCCUCACGGAACCCAGGUUCCUUGGGAGGAGAUCUGUGGGCCUCUCAGGACACUCUGGCCGCCACCUUUGUCUCUAGAAGUCUGGCAGUUGGUACUGCCAGCUAGAGUCCUGUCCCCUCCCUCCCCAGGGUUAGACCCAAGUGGGACAUCUUAGGUCAUUGCUACUAAGCUCCUCCAUUGACAGGCAGGAAAACUGAGACCUGGGGAGGAACUCACUCAAGGCUUUGGGGUGGGCCUGGGCCAGACAGGGUCUGUGUUCCUGGCCUUCCUGUAGGCAGGAUCCUCAGGUGGGCAGGGCCUGGGGGCAGCAGCAGGUCCACCUGAAGCCUCCCUGGAAGAGGCGACUUUCUGCAUAGAGGCCGUCACCACGAAGGCAGCAGCUGCCUCUGCAUGGCUUUCCCGGGGCUCCCACAUGGCUGAGGCACGCAGCACGGUGCCAGCCGUGGGCCCCAGGGGCUGCUGUCCCUGGGCAGUGUGAGCAGGACAGGGCAGGGGGAAGUGGAAUGGGCUGCAGUCCUGCUUCCCCUCUAGCCCCCGGCCGUCGAGCCAGUGUCGGGGUCUGCAGGCUCGGGCUUGCCUCUGCCCACUGUGGCCUGUUUGAUCCCUCUGAGCUUGGUUUCCCCCAUAACGUGGAGGAACUCUGUCCUGUGCCCAGGGCUCGUGGUGACUGGGGGCAGUGCUCUCUCACUGUGGGACUGAGCGGAGGGGUUUCGGGCAUUCCAUGCAGAGCUGACCUGAGCCAGGUGCCUAUAAGGGAGAGAAUGGAGGCCGCUCUUGGUGGGCGGGAGUGGGAGACAAGGUGCUGCAUUCCUGG